GCACUAUUUGGCCAUUGUACUCAGGGAAAGUUCAAAGUCACUCUCAAGUAUCACACCAGUUGUGAAGUGGAUCACACUUGCGUUUGAAGCCAAUCCCUUUAAAAAAAAAAUUGUGGAGGGAGAUAUUCCUGGCAUCCUCCCUCCCUUUUCUGUUGCGCCACUCACCUUGUCCUAUCUGGUCUAAUUUGGAGCCACGGAGGCGAGGUUCAAGGAGACGCGGAGCAGACGGACAGGCGGAAAAAACACUGGCACAUGUCUGUCACUGUUGUCCUGCAGGAUCCUGUGGAUACUCGUCACUCUCAAGUCCAUUCUCAGGUGGGAACAUCCACUGCUGCAGGAUCAGUUCGUUUUUUUGCCUUUUCUCCAAUACUACUUCUUCCUCCAAUAAUACUGUAGGCUAGUUUACUUUUGCUUGUGAGAAUCAUUAUGAGUCAGUUCAUGUGUCAGUAUAACUGAUUGACUAUAGACACACCAAUGGUGUAACCAAGAGUAGCCAUUGAAAUUAACUUGCUUGAUCAAUUGGUAUCUAACAAAAAAAACGUCUUUGUUUUCACUCCAUGUUAAUAUAAAAUAUAAACAGUUUUUGAUUAUGUUGUGUCUUUUGAAAGAUAUACAUGUAGGUUCUACCAGUGUGCCCAGUCUUCGAUCUGUGUAGCCUCUGACACAGAAACACCCCAAAACUUGAUUUUACAGAAAC